GUGGGGGAUAUUGCACAAUGGGGGGAACCCUGAUGCAGCGACGCCGCGUGGACGAAGAAAUAUUUCGGUAUGUAAAGUCCUAUCAGCAGGGAAGAAAAUGACAGUACCUGACCAAGAAGCCCCGGCUAACUACGUGCCAGCAGCCGCGGUAAUACGUAGGGGGCGAGCGUUAUCCGGAUUCACUGGGCGUAAAGGGAGCGCAGGCGGCACGGCAAGUCCGGUGUGAAAGCCCGGGGCCCAACCCCGGGACUGCACUGGAAACUGCCGGGCUGGAGUGUCGGAGGGGCAGGCGGAAUUCCUAGUGUAGCGGUGAAAUGCGUAGAUAUUAGGAGGAACACCGGUGGCGAAGGCGGCCUGCUGGACGACGACUGACGCUGAGGCUCGAAAGCGUGGGGAGCAAACAGG
rnacentral:rRNA from 1 species